UGUGAUUCGAGUGAGACGAGAACAAUGUCGCGUUUCGGCACUUCGGCGGCCCGCAUGUCGCCGAAUUUGUGCAGACAAUGGAUUUCGCUUGAACUUUCGAGGACACCCCAUCACAUCCAGGCUCCAAUCCAGGCCAUCCAAGGACAUCACUGCGCCUCAAAGGUUCUCUUCAACGCGCAGUUUCAAGGCUUCAUCAACACGCUGAGAAAUCAAUCAUCUGCUCCAAUCAAGGGGAUUACAUCGCCAUCUGAAGCGCUUCAAAAAGACGGAAAUGAAGAUGAUUUGGUCCAGCGGCUGCUGCAUCGCGGACCCGGUUUCUCUCCGCGAGACUGGUCCAGCGAGGAGGCUGUUGCUUUUCUCGGAUCCGUCUCUCGCCUCUGGAGCUCAGAUCGAACGAAUCUUCUCACGCUGAAUCAGAACUCGUUCGUCUACUGGAGAGUGGACACCGAAUGCAAGAAUGAUCUGCCUUCAAAUCGUUUAUUAAGGAUGUGAAGAAGACAACCCAGCUAGCGUUUUCGCUCAAGGGACGGCGCUGGAGGUUUUCGGCACGGCGCCAAAAGCAGACGGGACAGAAAAUUAAGCGAAAGGAAGGGAAAGCGCCCAACUGCGCUGUUAUUCCAUCUCUGGCUGCACACAGAGGAGCAGUUUUUCCAUUUGCGCCGCGCCGUUGGAUUCUUCCGGCCAAUUAAGUUGAUACCGACGAAGAAUAUUUCAAUUUGCAGCACGCCCGACGAGAGCUAUACGCAAAAUUUACAAAAACAUACAGAACGGAGAACGUGCAGCGCCGCUCUAAUGAGAAUAAUUCAAGAAGGGGCCAUUUUGGCCGCCGAGGAAAGAGCUAGCAAGGGUAGGUGUGCAGUAUAAUGAACGAGCUUAAUGGCUGCAGCAAAAAACUCUUGGCCCGGAAUUAUUCCCCGGUCGCUAAUAACCCUCGGCCUGAAACUUUUGCGCCCGUCCCUGAGGUAAAAAGAAGUUUUAUGACGCCUGGUAAUGCUCUCAAGCUCAUUAACGCCGCGGCACCCAACUUUUAAUUACACCUCCUCGCCAUCUUUAAAUUAUUGCAGGCGAAAGAGGAGCGUUUAUAUUUGCCGCGCGCACCAACUUUGGCGCCCAAGGCUAGGCGACCCUAAUGAAAGUGGAUUUUAAUUCAAUAAGAGCUUAAUUUCCCGGCGGCAGGUCAUUAGCAGCGCAGGUCCCUCCUUCGCCCUCCUGUCAAACACCUGGUGCACCGCAAACAACCAGAAAUAAAAUAUUAUGUUUAUACACGCUCGAAGCAGACCCGGCCGUGAGUAGAUCGGCCACCGAACCGAACGUAAACGACGACGUGCCCUCUCAGAACGUAAACUGCUGACACGACCACCUGCGAUCUAAAAGGCUAAUGCUCGCUCAAAGGCGGCUUUUUUAUUACGCUGCUCUAAAUAUAUUAGUUGUAGUAGUUUUAGCAUCAAUUAUUAUUUUAUUUUAAUUUUAUGCAAAAAAAUAAAAAUUAAAACUUAAACUUAAAACAAUAUUAAAAAUGGAAAUGAAGCGAUCGGGCUUUUCCUCGUUGCAGAAAAUUGUUUUUAUUAAAAAACAA